rnacentral:rRNA from 1 species
UACAGAGGGUGCGAGCGUUACUCGGAAUUAUUGGGCGUAAAGAGCUCGUAGGCGGUUUGUCACGUCUGCUGUGAAAUCCCGAGGCUCAACCUCGGGCCUGCAGUGGGUACGGGCAGACUGGAGUGCGGUAGGGGAGAAUGGAAUUCCUGGUGUAGCGGUGGAAUGCGCAGAUAUCAGGAGGAACACCGAUGGCGAAGGCAGUUCUCUGGGCCGUAACUGACGCUGAGGAGCGAAAGCGUGGGGAGCGAACAGG